GUGCUCGCUUCGGCAGCACAUAUACUAAAAUUGGAACGAUACAGAGAAGAUUAGCAGAAUGAAUACAACAGUGAGUAUAAUUAACUGUGGCUUAUGAUUUUUUU